ACAUUCAGGUUUUAACUAUAAAAGGAUCAAAAUAAAUCUCUUUAGUACGUUCAAAGGAUGAAACAUAUGGCUCAAUUUCUUCUGUUUGUUUAUUCUUUGAUUAUCUUUCUUUCUUUAUUUUUUGGUGAAGCGGCGUUUGAGAGGACUGAAACUAGAAUGCUUACCAUUCCUUGCACUUCUGACGCUAACUGUCCGAAGGUGAUUAGUCCUUGCCAUACAAAGUGUUUUGAUGGUUUUUGUGGGUGGUAUAUUGAAGGUUCAUAUGAAGGGCCAUAAUUGCACAAUCGAAACCAGGGGAUAUCACAUUAUUUCUACUUUUUUUCUUUACUUAAAAAUAUAAAUUAUGUUUAUCUAGCUUUUAAAUUUAAUUUUAUGUGUAUGCUGCACUCUUUUUUCCUUCAUCAAGUUUUAUCUCAAUAGAUUUUCUUGUUAAGGUUUUUAAUGAGGCAGUUGUUUGUUUCCUUGGGUUUUGGCAUAGUCUACCCAAUUUUUUAUUUUUUUAAUAAUAUGUUUCUUUGAGGUCUUACUUAGCUGAGAUUUCCUCAUGUAUUAUGCAUGAUGCCUAUGUACGUCGUUGAUAUCUGAAAAAAUUAAAUGCAUUUUUCCAUAAUAAUUUUUGUA